rnacentral:miRNA from 1 species
CCAGGCUCUUUCCACUACGCUCUUCCAGCGAGGAGCGUAGUGGAAAGAGCCUGGGU